UCUGAAAAUAGACAACAGUUUCAACAAAUAGAACAAAAUAAAUUAAUCCUUUCGCAUCGGAGGACGAAAUAUCUCGCCACGUAAUUCGUUCAUAUAAAAAUAUUCGUUCAUAUGCAUGAAGCUUCGGAAGAGAUAUUUCGUGUGUCCUGUCGUUGGAAAACAUGCGAUACGUGUCGUCCAACGACUCGCAUAAAAAUCAAUUCGUAAGACACUGCGUUUGUGAACGUAAAGAGAAUUAGGAAUGUUAAAUGAAGGAAAUGUUGUAUGAAAUAGUUGAAAGCAUGACCGAUGUGCGACUUUCAGUCGUAAACAUUGAAAAACGGGAACGUGAAAUAUUUCAUUCAAAACAUCACAUGAACAAUAUUGGAACAACAUUACAUGGCGAGAUAUUUUAUACAUUGAUAUAAAGGGAUUAAUAAAGGUACUAUAAUUCUUAAUUA